rnacentral:rRNA from 1 species
UACGUAGGGCGCAAGCGUUGUCCGGAAUUACUGGGCGUAAAGCGUGCGCAGGCGGUUAUGCAAGACAGAUGUGAAAUCCCCGGGCUCAACCUGGGAACUGCAUUUGUGACUGCAUGGCUAGAGUACGGUAGAGGGGGAUGGAAUUCCGCGUGUAGCAGUGAAAUGCGUAGAUAUGCGGAGGAACACCGAUGGCGAAGGCAAUCCCCUGGACCUGUACUGACGCUCAUGCACGAAAGCGUGGGGAGCAAACAGG